UACAGAGGGUGCGAGCGUUAAUCGGAAUUACUGGGCGUAAAGGGCACGUAGGUGGAUAAAUAAGUCAGAUGUGAAAUACCUGGGCUCAACCUGGGAAGUGCAUAUGAUACUGUUUAUCUAGAGUAUGGUAGAGGAAAGGGGAAUUCACAGUGUAGCGGUGAAAUGCGUAGAUAUUGUGAGGAACAUCAGUGGCGAAGGCGCCUUUCUGGACUAAUACUGACACUGAGGUGCGAAAGCGUGGGUAGCGAAC
rnacentral:rRNA from 1 species